AUUGAACGCUGGCGGCAUGCCUUACACAUGCAAGUCGAACGGCAGCGGGGGGCUUCGGCCUGCCGGCGAGUGGCGAACGGGUGAGUAAUGCAUCGGAACGUGCCCAUGUCGUGGGGGAUAACGUAGCGAAAGCUACGCUAAUACCGCAUACGUCCUGAGGGAGAAAGCGGGGGAUCUUCGGACCUCGCGCGAUUGGAGCGGCCGAUGUCGGAUUAGCUAGUAGGUGGGGUAAAGGCCCACCUAGGCGACGAUCCGUAGCGGGUCUGAGAGGAUGAUCCGCCACACUGGGACUGAGACACGGCCCAGACUCCUACGGGAGGCAGCAGUGGGGAAUUUUGGACAAUGGGCGCAAGCCUGAUCCAGCCAUGCCGCGUGAGUGAAGAAGGCCUUCGGGUUGUAAAGCUCUUUCGGCCGGGAAGAAAUCGUGGUCUCUAACAUAGGCCAUGGAUGACGGUACCGGACUAAGAAGCACCGGCUAACUACGUG
rnacentral:rRNA from 1 species